AUCAGCUGGAUAUCUGUCAUCAUCAGUUUGUACAGAAAGAGUCAUCGGCGGCAAAAGGCUGUACUAGAGCAGAGCCCGGCUCUCGGCAGCCGGCAGGCAUGAGCCCUCCCGACAGAAACCGAGCUCAAACCUGCUGAUGCGCGGUGCUGUCGUUCCUGGGAAUGAAAGAUUUCACAAGUAAGAGGUCUGUCUGCUAGAGGCUGUCCCCAUGGAAGGCAUACACAGCCCCUGCCUUGCAAACAGGUGGGCAACAGCCACCUUCCUUGGGAGCCCUUUUAGGUACACGACAUGGAGAGAGGAAGCAGAGGGAACAUUAUUUCUGUACACACUCUGGUCUUCUGUUGCCAAUUAGCGGGUCUCUGUGGAUGUUGGUGCUUGAGCCUGGAAACCUUGGGGCUCGAUGGAAGAACAUCAAAUGGAAGGUGAA